CCAAGCCACGGAGCACGGGUUCACACGCUGGCCUCUGCUGAAGGCUGGAGAGCAGUCUCAUGGGGUGGCUGCACUCUUUGCCCAGUUUAACUCCCCGCCAGGGUAAUAAGAGGUUACUUUGAGCACUGAGUGUAAACUGAAUCCAAGUGCCAGCUUUGCCACAAAUAUAUUUGAUGAUGGUGCAGCUCCCGUGGCAAAAGAACAAGGUUGCUAUCUUAAGACACCUGCACUUCCCCUCACCUGGAGCCAUUUGGCAGUGGGAAGCCUGCAGAUCUACUUGCGUCAGAGUUACUGAGCAAGAACUUGAGUAUGAAAAAGCCUGAAUUGUUGAAAACAAGGUGGGGGUGGGGUGUUUUGGUUUAUUCCCCCUCCUACCACUCAGUUCCCAAAGUUUCAAGGUAGGAAAGGGAAGUGCUUUCGUCACAAGCAACGUUUUCCGCUGUGAGUUUCAGAUGAGUUGGGCAUUUCACUCCCCUGCUCCCAUGGGAAUCCUCAGGUAAACAGACAUGUCUUGUCUGCAGCGGUGCUCCGAUGUACAGCGGCUGGGAGCAGAGGAAGGACAAACCUCCUGACUUUAUUUUUGCUGGGGGUGUAAAAUGAGCCAAGGCUUUCUGCAGUCACUAUUCUAUACAUAUCUUUUGGGUCUGAUGCUAUUUUUGUUGGCUGUGACCCUGGAGGUGUAGGUGUGGAAGUGCCUUUCUGCUGCUCUCUGCAUGCGGGUGUAGAUGUUUCCUCUGUUCCAGGCACCUCCUCAGACUCUGUGGCCUUUCAGGGGGAGUAGGCGGAUGUCGGCGUGGCCUUUCCCCACCUGUCUGUAACUUUUUAAUACUUCUUUUUAUUUUGGCCUUGCGCUUCUUCCAUGGAACAUCUCUGGGUAGCCACUGGGAGGUGUAAAUGGCUUGAGAUGGAAACCACAGCUUGUAGGUGCGCCCUCUGCCAGGCUUUUCUGGCACCCGAGGAAGUCAGGUCUGUGCCUGCUCCCAAGCAAAAGGGAUAUUACCAGCUGCUCGGUGAGAAAACAAAUUCACAGAGAUACAGGAAAGUGUGUUAAGGUGGUGGGAAGCAACGGGAGUGAGAUUCCUGGCAGCUCGGUAGCUCAGAUGUUGGACUACCUCUGGGGGAAGUGAGGGGAAGGCAGGAGGUGGAGGUAAUGCGUGGCCUCUUCUGAAGUGUCACAUGGAUGUGACUAGCCUGCCACAAAUUUAGCUCCGGUGGCACUGACAAGACACUGCAGUGGAAAAAGCAGAGAUGUCCUUUUAAGCAGACGCAGGGACAGCAAGCCCAUGCAAGUGUUUAGCUGUUUGUCAUGACUGCUCAGCAGGCUGGCCUAGCCACGUCCUGGGGUCUGUCCAGCUGCACCCAGACACAUGCAGCCUGUGCUGAGGGUGGGUGCAGGGCUGAGACACACGCCAGUGUGGCAGUAGGUUUGAGGGGCUGGAGGAGAAGACCAUCACCAGGACCAGCUGCUGCAUGGGUGUGGAAAGUGAAGGCGCCCGACCAGCAACAUCUGUCUCCCUGCUUGUGACCUGGGUGUGGGGCUGUUACUUUACCCCAGCUCCGUGGCAGUGCAGUCCCCAGCUGGGGUCUGCACAUCCUGUCUGGACACAAGGACAAGCAGGAAAGCCCAAGAGCCUCCUCACACUGCGCCACAGAUCUCCCUUGCUGCUGCACCCACCACCUCCUGCAGAGAAAUCUCUCUUGUUAGGGGUGUGCCUGUUCUCAGUGAAGUUGCAAACCCUCUAGGGCAAGGCGCAAGACUCGUCUGAUCUCCUCCCUGAACAUGCCACAAGUGCGUGAAGCUAGAGGAGGGAUUUCCAUCCUGCCCGUGUGGUAAUGGGAGCUGAGGAGGUGCCCAGCCUGGAUGCAGCAAGGCGAGGUAUGGAGUGAGAUGUGUUUCUCAUCAGUGGUGGAGCAGAGCCACGAAGCUGCUGUUGGGGAGACUGCAGUUCUAUCCUGCCCCAUCCCCUCCCUGUGGAGAGUCCACAUCCAUGGGACAGCCUGUGCAGCCAGGUGCCAGCAUCCUCUUUCCUCCAGCUCUCAGCUGGGCACAUGGUGGUCCUGAGGUCCCCAGCAUCCCUGCUGGGCCCAGCCUCAGGAGCGAAUUAUUGUGUGCAGCAAAGGCACAGCUUCAAAUAGGUGUCCUUAACCUGGCCUAAUCUGCACAGGGCUCUGUGCCUGCCGGGGCAGAGGGAAGUCAACUAUAUCUCACCUCCAUAAAUUGUUGUUCAGAUUAAGGGAAGUGCCAGAAGCUUUAAAGAGGCUGUUGGCAGAUUCCAGAAAAAAAGAAACAAGUGACACCUGCUGCACAUCAAAACAGCAAUUACCUUUGUAUCAGUAAGAUGGUUAAUGCAUGUAACAAGUGGCUGGAGAUAUGGAAGGGCAUAGAUCUCAGAAACCAGGACAAAAUCAGUUUUUUCAAAUCCUGCAUCCAUGGUCCUGAGCUGAUAUACAAGCAAGAUGAUAAUGCAGCACAGUGGUUUUUGUUGGCCUCUGCCUGUUUCCAGCCACAGCAGCCCUGGCUGCUGAUUAUUCAGCAGACAUUAACCAGUGGAAUGUUUCCGUGAUUUUUUUCUCAAAUAAAGAAUGCUGGGAAAAAUGCUUUCAUAUUUUUAUUUUCUUUUUUGAGAAAGUCUAAGACAACUCCGGAGCCUUUCAGAUCAUGACAUUUAUAUGACAUGCGGUGCUGGUGUCAGAAAUUGUUGCUUGCUGUGCUGGUGGCCACUUACUUCCAACAGGCUCAGCUGUAACCUUCUGAAAAAUACCAUUUUGUCCUUUCACAGUGGAGCUUGUCAUAACCUUAUUUCCAAACACAUGGGUUGCACUCCACACAUCUUACAGCUCCGUGAGAUAUUUGCAUUAGGGAGGCAGCUUGCUUUCCCGCCUAUCCCGUUCCAUCAAAACACACUUUUAGCCCCAGGCAGGAAGCCAAGGUCAAGUCUCCUUUUCUUUUUUUUUUUUUGUUCCUCUUGCCUGCUCUGAAUGCAUGAUAAUACAGACUUCAGCUCCAUUAUUAUAUCUUUUCCCACAAGACCGUUGCCUCAUUCAGACCUCAGCAGGGAACAUGUUUUCACCUCUGCCAGCUGGGCAUGGCUGGAGAGCCCUAUGCCCGUAGGAGCUCCAAGGGGGAGGACACGGAGGUGAGGCUUUGCAGAGAGGAUAGAGGAGUUUGGUUAGCUCCAGAUCUGGUAGGGCAUUUCCAGGGAGCCUCUCCCACUGCCUCCCUUGUCAGGCCAGUAAUGAAGAAUGUCAAUGACGAUGGGAUUCCUCUCAUCUCUUUUUAAGUGCCUAAAAGUUAGGUGUCUAAUCCUAAUUAGUUAGACAGGCUUCCUGCAUAGCCAAUGGAGACAAAUAGGCACCUCCAGUGUAUGAUUCAUUUCACAUAUCUUGAAGUUUAUCUUGAGAAGGGCUGACUCACCUGACAGCCAAGCACCCGCUUCUCUUCUGUGGCUGUAAAGGCAGAUCGGCAACUUGCUGAGGAUUUGACAGCUACGUUUUGGGUGUCCCAAGCGGGCAAGGUGAGUCCUACUGCCAGCUGCGGCA